UGCCUGCGCCCCCGGGACUGGGGAGGAAGAAGAGGGCCGGGAAAGUCAGGGAGCGGUAGGCACAAGAACAAGGAACGGACUCCAGCCCUCAAGGCAGUGUGGCCUCCGGUUUAACCUGCGGCCACCGGCGGAAUCUCUCCUCGCUGCUCUCGACGGCCCGUGGAAGGGGCGGUCACGACAAGUCUGUCAUGCUGCAUUAGACAAAGCUCCAUUCCAAUUCUGGCUGGACCGCUUGACUUCUUGUGCAAACCUAGACAAGAGCUUGAACUCCAAUGGGCCUGUUUCCUAGCCUGAAACGGACACAAGAAGAGUAUGUCGCUCACAGGGAUGCUGGAAGAACGAACGAGCAAGGCUGGAGCACAGUGCUGGUGCAUAAGUGAGCAAGUGGGGGCGAAGUAACAGAAGAAGGAGUCAAACUCACAGAGGAAGUUGGUGGCGGAGAUCAGCCAGGACUUGAAUGGGCUGAAACCUCUACAAAGGGCUUCUUAUAGGAAGGAGAGUCCACCCGACAUGAGGCCCCUGGUUGGAUGACUUGGACCUUCGCACCCUACAGGAGGAGUGAUGGCUCCCAGGCUGGGCCCACCAACACCCUUUCUUUGUUUCUUCCCCCGUUACGCUGAGAAAGAAGUAGGAUGUGGGAGGGAAUUCUUAAAGAACUUCCACAGUUGAUGGAUGGUUUGACUACCAUUUACUUUCAUUCCCUACUAGGCUUGUCCGUUAGAUGAGGAAACUGCGGCUCAGAGAGAUUAAGACAUUUGCCCAAGGUCACACAGCUAGUGCACAAUAGAGCUGAAAUUCCAGUGAUACACACCACCCCUCCUCCUCCCCAUUUUUAGAAUUAUUAUUA